rnacentral:lncRNA from 1 species
AGCCCAUCUGCACCCAGGCGCUCACUGAAACAGUGUGUUGCUCCACACCGCCUUGUUUUGCUUGUUGGCGCGCUCUCAGGGUUCCGACCAAUCCAAGAGCCUUGCAGAAAGCAUUAACGUGCUUUUCUCUUUGGCAGAGUUUUUCUUUGCUCUGAUCUUGGAGACAUCCCUCUGCCUAGUGGAAACAUAAGGAAUACAGAAAGAAUGCAAGGAGAUAGACCAACGUGAGAUUCUCCUUCAUGCACUCAAGAGAAAGAUGUUGCAGGAAGAGCUAGUCUUUCAGGCUGGGCUGGUGACCUGAGAAAGAAUGUCCAGCUUUUCUUCUCCACUUGGCAUAUCAAGAGCCAGGCGUGGAAGACUAAAACAGGAAAUGUUUAUAAAAACUGUUCAGCGGUUCGCCAACAAGAAGUGGUAAAGUAGCAAAAAUGGGGAUGGAGAUGCCAGGAGGAAAGAUGCCAGGGGUAAAGUGGGAAAAUGGGAACCUGAAGCCAGGAGGUCAAGCCAAGCCAACAGGUGUUCUGUUUUUCAAUGAGGAGGUGGGGCACAGGAUGGAUGGAAACUUUCCACAGUCACAGAACUAAUAAGUGGUGCUGAGGACUCAAACCCGGGGAAGCCCACUCUAGAACCCAUGCUGGUCAUCCAUAUCCCCAAGGCCCUGGUCAGAACACAGCUAAGCAGAUGGCUUGGGUCAUCAGGACGUCCAUUACAUCCAAAGGAAGACAGCCUGUGACGUUUCAAAAGCAAAAGUCCCCUACCAGCCAGUGAAGCUACCUGAUUUCUCAGUAUCUUACGCCCAGUGACACGAUCUACCCUCAAAACUUAAAAAAAAAAGGGAAACAUAAACACAUAACAGCAGCAGCAAUAAUUAAAGAUGAGAUGAGAACAAUUAAGAAAAAAGGAAAGGUCUCCUGUGACUGUUUUAUUUUUAGGGAAACAGAGAGGAAGAAGAAUGAUUUUUCUUUUGAUGACUCUAUAUCCAACUCUGAGGUUUGAUUAAAGAAAUGACCUUGAACCACAGCAAAGAAAAAUAAAAGACAAUUUCCAUAGAGAUUGAAACUCCUGUGGGAGCCGUGCUCCCUUCAAUAGCAUACUGCUCCAGGAUAAUCCACCCUGUGUCGGAGUUGUGAAAACAGAACUCCUCAGGGAUCUGCUAUAUCCAAACUAUUCCAGAGUCCCAAUUGAUGAGCUUUUAUUGCAAAAGCCAUUGAGAAACAGAUUCUUUUCUCAGUGCUCUUCUGAAGGGUGAGCAAAUCAAUCUUACUUCCUAGAUGUGUCAGCUGAGUCAAGUUACCCAGAAAGAAACACAGGAGAAAUGAGUCCCUGACAAGCCUGGGUGGAAGUUCCGUCCACUGCUGUCAAUCCUGCAUAUUUUGUUCCAAUCCACUAUUUCUUUAAAAUUGCUGAGUAAAAUGUUGGAUAUGACUCAGGCAUCCCGAAAAUCUCAAAUCUCUGAAUAUUCAACAUCAAUUUAAAGAAGACACAAGAUACUGGGCUUUUUUUCCCCAUUGUCAAAAUAUGGGGCGUAUGCCGUUGCAAGUUGAGUAUGUAAAAAACCAUGAUGCUAUUUUAUAGUCAUGGAAUCAAUCAUGAGAAUUCACAGUCUUGUGAACAGGGACUUCUCAUAUUUGAUAAAUGACUUGAUUGCUGUGUUUCUGAUUAGCGGCUUUUCAAUUGCAUUACAAAUGUUGGAAACAUCCAUUAGUCAGUAUUUAGCAACAUUUUAGGAACUGAUUAAAGUGAAUCCGUGUUUCAGAAACAUAGAACUACUUGUGCUGUGAACUCAACAGUGAAGAUAUCCAACAGAUCCUUUGGGAAGAGAGAAAUAGACAAGAAUCUUAAGCCACCUUCCUUUUGUUGUUGUUGUUAGAGACAGUCUCACUGUCACCCAGGCUGGACUGCAGUGGUGUGAUCGUAGCUCACUGCAGCCUCAAUCUCCCAAUCUCAAGCAAUCCUCCCACCUCAGCCUCUUAAGUAGCUGGGACUACAGGUGCACACCACCACACCUGGCUCAUUUUUUUUUCGAAUUUUUAGUAGAGACGAGCUCUUGCUAUGUUGCCCAGGCUAGUCUCAAACUCCUAGCCUCAAGCAGUCCUUAAGCCUCAGCCUCCCAAAGUGCUGGGAUUACAGGCAUGAGCCACUGCUCCCAUCCCAGGCCAUCUUCUGCAUGUAAUUUAAUUUCUGCAGGUUUGCCAGUUGGCUUGUCACUUUUACCCAGAAGUAUCUGAGAGAGAAAAAAAAAAAAAUUAAAGCAGGUGUGGGGCAAGAGGGAAGGCAGACACAAACGCAAUCCAAUGUUAUAGUAGAAGAUCACUGCUUAGACUAUCUCCAUAGUUCAUCUUUGCUUUGGU